GUCUGUGAGGACGCGGGGGCGGAGCCGCUGGAGCCGGAGCCGCUGGAGCCUGAGUCGCUGAAGCCGGUUUGGGGUCACUCAUUCUGGGGAAGGCAGAUGCCAUGUCAUUGAAGACAUCCAAGCAGCUUCACAGAGAGGUCCACAAGGUGAGGAACUGAGGCCUCCUACAGCUUGCCAGCUAUGGACCAGUGACAACUUCUACCUGAAUGACAGAUACAUUUGAGAACUGCUGCUAACUUCUUAAAUCCCUUCCUACUCUCAGAUAAGGUGUCAGAAAAGGAUGCUCAUAAUGAAGGAUGUGAGCAAGAAUACAGAACUGUGAACUGAAAUAUUUGGGAACAGAUAUUGGAUAAGGAAGCUGUUUGGCAUCCCAAAACAGAAGUUUCUCCCAAACAGGAUAUUGGAAAAGGAAGGACUUCCCGGAAGGUGAAGUCAAGAGUCAUGAAGAACAAUAGACUAUGAAGCUACCUCCAGGAAACAAAAUUGAAGAGCCUGACAUGGUGAACAGCAAAUGGAAAGUGUUGCAUCAAUAUCUGAUGAAUGUAUGAGAAAGUCUUCACCUGAUACCACCUAGAUCCUACCAGCCCAGGAUGUCUGGAAGCAAGCGUAAAAGUGGCAGUUAUGGAGCUGGUACUGCUAAGAAGUGCCAGGAAUUGGAGGCCCAGAGAAAGGACAAAGAGAGACAAGAGGAAGAAGAAGUAACUGAAGAACUGAAGAAAUUCAUGAUGCAGGAAGUGGCAAGGGUAUUUUCUUUAUUUGAGGAGGCACUAUUAGUUUUUGAGGCACAGGACCGUGUAGAAUGGUACACGAAGGAAGGUUGCAGAAGCCGCUGAGAAUGCAAUCCAGUGCUACCGUGUCAUCUAUGAUGAGAAAAAAAGAGCUAUUACUCAGACGUCACUGGAUCGCUUUUUUUAAGAGGGUAGAUAGAAUUGAAUCCAGCAAGAAACCAGAACCUGUGCCAUCAACGUCAGGCAUGAAUGAAAUUGCAGCUGGCCCUCCAUCUCCUACUGCUGACCAUCCUUCAG